rnacentral:rRNA from 1 species
GACGAACGCUGGCGGCGUGCCUAAUACAUGCAAGUAGAACGCUGAAGAGAGGAGCUUGCUCUUCUUGGAUGAGUUGCGAAAGGGUGAGUAACGCGUAGGUAACCUGCCUUGUAGCGGGGGAUAAAUAUUGGAAACGAUAGCUAAUACCGCAUAACAAUGGAUGUCACAUGUCAUUUAUUUGAAAGGGGCAAUUGCUCCACUACAAGAUGGACCUGCGUUGUAUUAGCUAGUAGGUGAGGUAAUGGCUCACCUAGGCGACGAUACAUAGCCGACCUGAGAGGAGGAUCGGCCACACUGGGACGGAGACACGGCCCAGACGCCUACGGGAGGAGGCAGUAGUGAAGCUUCGGCAAUGGGGGCAACCCUGACCGAGCAACGCCGCGUGAGUGAAGAAGGUUGUCGGAUCGUAGAGCUCUGUUGUAAGUCAAGAACGGGUGUGGGAGUGGAAAGUUCACACUGUGACGGUAGCUGACCAGAAAGGGACGGCUAACUACGUG